GUGGGGAAUCUUCCGCAAUGGACGAAAGUCUGACGGAGCAACGCCGCGUGAGUGAUGAAGGUCUUCGGAUUGUAAAGCUCUGUUAAUCGGGACGAAAGAGCCUAGUGUGAAUAAUGCUAGGAAGUGACGGUACCGGAAUAGAAAGCCACGGCUAACUACGUGCCAGCAGCCGCGGUAAUACGUAGGUGGCAAGCGUUGUCCGGAAUUAUUGGGCGUAAAGCGCGCGCAGGCGGAUCUGCCAGUCUGUCUUAAAAGUUCGGGGCUUAACCCCGGGAUGGGAUGGAAACUACAGAUAUAGAGUAUCGGAGAGGAAAGUGGAAUUCCUAGUGUAGCGGUGAAAUGCGUAGAUAUUAGGAAGAACACCAGUGGCGAAGGCGACUUUCUGGACGAAAACUGACGCUGAGGCGCGAAAGCCAGGGGAGCGAACGGGAUUAGAUACCCGAGUAGUCC
rnacentral:rRNA from 1 species